CAAGAGGAUUAUAUGGGCUUGCUGGCUGAGUGCCAUCCCAUCACACACAUUCUCUUUCUAUGUCUCUGUAGUUUUUAUUUUGUUUUAUUUUAUUUUCCUUUUCCUUUUUCCAGAGUAUCCAUCCUUCUGAUUCUUGUUUCUCCUUUCAUUGAGCAAUAAUGGUGCUGCAAAUAACAAGAACGACCCAAUAAAAAAGGAAAUGUAAAUAUUAAAAGAAAAGGAAAGAAUGACAAGUUAUGCCACUGUAAUGCAGAAUGAGAAUACAAUAAAAUAAGAUUUCUGAGAACAUAUCUGAAUUACACACAUACAGAUAUGUAAAGUUAAUAAAAAUGAAAGAAGAAUAAACAUAUGUAGUUAUUUUUAUUUAUUUAUUCAAUAGUUAGUUUGUUUUUGUUUAUUUAUUUGUUUAUUUUGGAAUAUUUCAACCUCUUGGUAUCCUGUAUUGCAAUUAAUUUAUAGAGCAUAUGUCAUGCCUAGAUCAGCAUUGCCAGAUUGAACUGAUCCAUCUCACACACAUGCAUACUUGUUCAUUCACAUGUGGUCAGUAGUUGAAGUCUGUUGGCAAGGAAUUGCUUGAAAAUCCUUUGCCUUGUGCAAAAUUUAAAAUUUUAUUUAUUUAUUGUGUAGUUGGUUGAAAGUGUGAAAUGGAAAAAAACAAUGUUCUUUCAUUUGAAAAUGUCAAUGGUUUUGGAAAAAGAAAAAUAAGAAAACUUUAUGGCUUGCCUGGUAUAAACUUAAUUUCCUGAAUUUGUUUCCAGAAUCCUUUACAAAAUUCAAAAAGUAAAACUUAUAAAACUGAUUUUCCAAAGCUGAAAAUUGCAAAAAGCACAAAUCCUUG
rnacentral:lncRNA from 1 species